ACAACGGUCCUUUUCAGGACCACUUCUCACUCGAAAAUCGGACGUCU
rfam:Ixodes scapularis strain Wikel colony gcontig_1108379296426, whole genome shotgun sequence.